rnacentral:rRNA from 1 species
UAAGCCCUUCUAGCUCCUACAAGAAGUUAGGCGGGCGGACGGGUGAGUAACACGUGGGUAACCUGCCCAUAAGACUGGGAUAACUCCGGGAAACCGGGGCUAAUACCGGAUAACAUUUUGAACUGCAUGGUUCGAAAUUGAAAGGCGGCUUCGGCUGUCACUUAUGGAUGGACCCGCGUCGCAUUAGCUAGUUGGUGAGGUAACGGCUCACCAAGGCAACGAUGCGUAGCCGACCUGAGAGGGUGAUCGGCCACACUGGGACUGAGACACGGCCCAGACUCCUACGGGAGGCAGCAGUAGGGAAUCUUCCGCAAUGGACGAAAGUCUGACGGAGCAACGCCGCGUGAGUGAUGAAGGCUUUCGGGUCGUAAAACUCUGUUGUUAGGGAAGAACAAGUGCUAGUUGAAUAAGCUGGCACCUUGACGGUACCUAACCAGAAAGCCACGGCUAACUACGUGCCAGCAGCCGCGGUAAUACGUAGGUGGCAAGCGUUAUCCGGAAUUAUUGGGCGUAAAGCGCGCGCAGGUGGUUUCUUAAGUCUGAUGUGAAAGCCCACGGCUCACCCGUGGAGGGUCAUUGGAAACUGGGAGACUUGAGUGCAGAAGAGGAAAGUGGAAUUCCAUGUGUAGCGGUGAAAUGCGUAGAGAUAUGGAGGAACACCAGUGGCGAAGGCGACUUUUCUGGUCUGUAACUGACACUGAGGCGCGAAAGCGUGGGGGAGCAAACAGGAUUAGAUACCCUGGUAGUCCACGCCGUAACGAUGAGUGCUAAGUGUUAGAGGGUUUCCGCCCUUUAGUGCUGAAGUUAACGCAUUAAGCACUCCGGCCUGGGGAGUACGGGCCGCAAGGCUGAUCUCAAAGGAUUUGACGGGGGCCCGCACAAGCGGUGGAGCAUGUGUUUAAUUCGAAGCACGCGAGAUCUUACCAGGUCUGACAUCCUCUGAAACCCUAGAGAUAGGCCUCUCUCGGGAGCAGAGUGACAGGUGUGCAUGUGCGUCAGCUCGUGCGGAGAUGUGGGUUAAGUCCGACCGGAGGCACUUGAUCUUAGGUGCACAUAUUGGACCUCUAGUGACUGGCGGGACACACCGGGAGAGGGGGAUGACUCAAUUCAUAUGC